UCAAGAGGAGGUGGUCGCCACCCAGUUUGAGAAAGUCAAGAUAGAAGAGGAACAUAAGGAAGAUGAGAAGAAACACAGUCUCCUGGACAAGCUUCACCGAUCCAAUAGCAGCUCCAGCUCUGUAAUUACUUUUUUUACUUCCUUACUUACUAGUCAUAGUUCAAACAGUCAAAUCUUUUUCAUAUAUAUUAUAACAUGCGUUGUAUGAAUGUUCAGUCUAGUGACGAGGAAGAAGGUGAAGGUGAAGGCGGAGAGAAGAAGAAGAAGAAAAAGGAGAAGAAGGGAAAGAAAGAAGAGGACAGUGCAGUCCCAGUGGAGAAGUGCGAUGAGGCGGCAACAGUUCACCACUCAGAGACGCCGGAAAAGAAGGGUUUCAUGGAGAAGAUCAAAGACAAACUCCCAGGACAGCAUAAGAAAGAUGAAGAGGUCACCACCCCACCACCAGCUGCUGCUGCCCCAACUGAGAACGACCACCAUGAGGGAGAGAC
rnacentral:lncRNA from 1 species